rnacentral:rRNA from 1 species
CACGUAGGGCGCAAGCGUUGUCCGGAAUUAUUGGGCGUAAAGAGCUCGUAGGCGGACUGUCACGUCUGCUGUGAAAAGCUGGGGCUUAACCCUGGCCUUGCAGUGGAUACGGGCAGACUAGAGGUAGGUAGGGGAGAAUGGAAUUCCCGGUGUAGCGGUGAAAUGCGCAGAUAUCGGGAGGAACACCGGUGGCGAAGGCGGUUCUCUGGGCCUUACCUGACGCUGAGGCGCGAAAGCUAGGGGAGCAAACGGG